AAACCAUAAUUUGGAGACUUCUGCAAAUACUCCUUGAAUCUCUCCCAAGCUUCAUAUAACUGCUCCCCCGAAAGCUGUUUGAACUCAUAGAUUUUAUCAUGGAUUUC